AUACGAAAGGGGCUAGCGUUGUUCGGAAUUACUGGGCGUAAAGCGCACGUAGGCGGCACUGUAAGUUGGGGGUGAAAUCCCAGGGCUCAACCCUGGAACUGCCUCCAAAACUACAGAGCUAGAGGAUGUGAGAGGAUAGUGGAAUUCCGAGUGUAGAGGUGAAAUUCGUAGAUAUUCGGAAGAACACCAGUGGCGAAGGCGACUGUCUGGCACAUUUCUGACGCUGAGGUGCGAAAGCGUGGGGAGCGAACAGGAUUAGAUACCCUAGUAGUCC
rnacentral:rRNA from 1 species